rnacentral:rRNA from 1 species
AACGAACGCUGGCGGCGGGCCUAAUACAUGCAAGUAGAACGCUGACGGAGGAGCUUGCUUCUCCGGAUGAGUUGCGGCCGGGUGAGUAACGCGUAGGUAACCUGCCUGGUAGCGGGGGAGAACGUUAGGAAACGAUAGCUAAUACCGCAUAAGAGUAGAUGUAGCAGGACAUUUGCGUAAAAGGUGCAGUUGCUGCACUAGCAGUUGGCCAUGAGUUGUAUUAGCUAGUGGGUGGGGGAACGGCUUAUCAAGGCGACGAUACAUAGCCGACCUGAGAGGGUGAUCGGCCACACUGGGACUGAGACACGGCCCAGAACCCUACGGGAGGGAGCAGUAGGGGAUCUUCGGCAAUGGACGGAAGGCUGACCGAGCAACGCCGCGUGAGUGAAGAAGGUAGUCAGGUCGUAAAGCUCUGUUGUGAGAGAAGAACGAGUAGCAGUGUGAAAAGUUCACACUGUGACGGUAUCUUACCAAAAAGCGACGGCUAACUACGUG